rnacentral:rRNA from 1 species
UACGGAGGGAGCUAGCGUUGUUCGGAAUUACUGGGCGUAAAGCGCACGUAGGCGGCUUUGUAAGUUAGAGGUGAAAGCCCGGGGCUCAACCCCGGAAUUGCCUUUAAGACUGCAUCGCUUGAAUCCGGGAGAGGUGAGUGGAAUUCCGAGUGUAGAGGUGAAAUUCGUAGAUAUUCGGAAGAACACCAGUGGCGAAGGCAGCCAUCUGGACCGACACUGACGCUGAGGCGCGAAAGCGUGGGGAGCAAACAGG